UACGUAGGUGACAAGCGUUGUCCGGAUUUACUGGGCGUAAAGAGCGCGCAGGCGGUCGUUCAAGUCGAGUGUGAAAGCCCCCGGCUCAACUGGGGAGGGUCAUUCGAUACUGAUCGACUCGAAGGCAGGAGAGGGAAGUGGAAUUCCCGGUGUAGUGGUGAAAUGCGUAGAUAUCGGGAGGAACACCAGUGGCGAAGGCGACUACCUGGCCUGUUCUUGACGCUGAGGCGCGAAAGCUAGGGGAGCAAACGGG
rnacentral:rRNA from 1 species